UACGUAGGGGCCGAGCGUUGUCCGGAUUUAUUGGGCGUAAAGAGCGUGUAGGCGGCCACACAGGUCAGCUGUGAAAACUCGAGGCUCAACCUCGAGACGUCGGUUGAAACCGUAUGGCUAGAGUCCGGAAGAGGAGAGUGGAAUUCCUGGUGUAGCGGUGAAAUGCGCAGAUAUCAGGAGGAACACCAAUGGCGAAGGCAGCUCGCUGGGACGGUACUGACGCUGAGACGCGAAAGCGUGGGGAGCGAACAGG
rnacentral:rRNA from 1 species